AGUGAACGCUGGCGGUAGGCCUAACACAUGCAAGUCGAACGGCAGCACAGUAAGAGCUUGCUCUUACGGGUGGCGAGUGGCGGACGGGUGAGGAAUACAUCGUAAUCUACUUUUUCGUGGGGGUUAACGUAGGGAAACUUACGCUAAUACCGCAUACGACCUACGGGUGAAAGCAGUGGAUCUUCGGACCUUGCGCGAUUGAAUGAGCCGAUGUCGGAUUAGCUAGUUGGCGGGGUAAAGGCCCACCAAGGCGAGGAUCCGUAGCUGGACUGAGAGGAUGAUCAGCCACACUGGAACUGAAACACGGUCCAGACUCCUACGGGAGGCAGCAGUGGGGAAUAUUAGACAAUGGGCGCGAGCCUGAUCCAGCCAGACCGCGUGGGUGAAGAAGGCCUUCGGGUUGUAAAGCCCUUUUGUUGGGAAAAAAAAGCAGCAGGUUAAUACCCCGCUGUUCUGACGGUAACCAAAGAAUAAGCACCGGCUAACUUCGUG
rnacentral:rRNA from 1 species